rnacentral:sRNA from 1 species
CCCGUCCUGCCACUAAGGCUACUUCUUGGGGGUCUCCGGUUUCUUUGCUUUUUAGCUACUAACCUUCCUCUACUCCCUGGCCUAAGUGGUCCUACGUGGGUGGAGAACUUCCUUUGUUGACUUUUGAGCGGCCAUCUUAGAAAAAUCAGGGAAAGAAUGGGACUGGUCAGUAUAGGGUGCUGUUUAUAAGGAAGCCUUGUUUGUAGGAGUUGUUGAGACAAAUGUAAUUUAGAUUUUGAGAGAUCAAAAGAAGAAUGAUGGAGACAGAAUAAGACCCUAAAAAGAGCUGUGGGAUAGAGGCAACAAGCCUGUCAUCUCAGCACUUGGGAGGCCGAGGGAAGCUCUUUAACCAGGAAGAUAAACAACUGAAAAGAGCUUUGGGAAGUCCCCGAAACUGACUAGAUUCACUAGGUCCCUCUCUUCCAGAAUAAGCAAUAAAAACUGAGCGUGCUUCUCAGAAGAGAGUGCCGAGUUGCCAAGAAAGACUCUGAUACUAGACCAGCUGUCUGGAAGAAGCGGAAAAUGGCUGAAUUGCCUGGAAGAUGUUUAGACCAACUGAGGCACCUGGAAAGAACACUCUCCAACCAGUUGCGCUGCCCGCAGGCUGUGCAGUAUUCUCCAGAUUCCCAUCUUCGUCAGCUGUCAUCCAUGCUUGGACGGACUUUGGUGAAGCAGCUGUCCUUGAGUCAUUUCUUGUAUUUUUAUAAGUAACCCCUAAUUCAUACUCCUGUAAAUAACCCUAAUAAACUCAUUGUUCAUUGGACUUUGGUGGAAUCUGUAACUUGGUAGGUCGUGGGUUCCCUAUAUUGAAGAAGAGUAGACAUGUGUUACACAACACUGUUUUGUUGUUUGCUUUUUUUUUUUAAGCAUC